rnacentral:rRNA from 1 species
UACGAAGGUGGCGAAUGUUGCUCGGAUUCACUGGGCGUAAAGCGUCGGUAGGAGGUUGUGUAAGUCAGGUGUGAAAGCCCCGUGCUCAACAUGGGAAUUGCACUUGAAACUAGACGACUCGAAGGUAUGAGAGGAAGGCGGAAUGACUGGUGUAGAGGUAAAAUUCAUAGAUAUCAGUCGGAACACCCAUGGCGAAGGCAGCUUUCUGGCAUAUUCUUGACUCUGAGCGACGACAGCGUGGGGAGCAAACAGG